GCCCGGAUGGUCUAGUGGUAUGAUUCUCGCUUCGGGAAAAUCCUCCCCCACUUUACAAGUGGAUUUACUUGAUUUCAAGAAAUGCGAGAGGUCCCGCGUUCGAAUCGCGGUUCGGGCC